rnacentral:rRNA from 1 species
CAACCGGGAUUGCCUUAGUAACGGCGAGUGAAGCGGCAAAAGCUCAAAUUUGAAAUCUGGCGUCUUCGACGUCCGAGUUGUAAUUUGAAGAAGGCAACUUUGUAGCUGGUCCUUGUCUAUGUUCCUUGGAACAGGACGUCAUAGAGGGUGAGAAUCCCGUGUGGCGAGGAUCCCAGUUAUUUGUAAAGUGCUUUCGACGAGUCGAGUUGUUUGGGAAUGCAGCUCUAAGUGGGUGGUAAAUUCCAUCUAAAGCUAAAUAUUGGCGAGAGACCGAUAGCGAACAAGUACAGUGAUGGAAAGAUGAAAAGAACUUUGAAAAGAGAGUGAAAAAGUACGUGAAAUUGUUGAAAGGGAAGGGCAUUUGAUCAGACAUGGCGUUUGCUUCGGCUUUCGCUGGGCCAGCAUCAGUUUUAGCGGUUGGAUAAAUCCUCGGGAAUGUGGCUCUGCUUCGGUAGAGUGUUAUAGCCCGUGGGAAUACAGCCAGCUGGGACUGAGGAUUGCGACUUUUGUCAAGGAUGCUGGCGUAAUGGUUAAAUGCCGCCCGUCUUGAAACACGGACCUCCUGUGUGAAGUG